rnacentral:rRNA from 1 species
UACGUAGGGGGCAAGCGUUGUCCGGAAUCAUUGGGCGUAAAGCGCGUGUAGGCGGCCCGGUAAGUCCGCUGUGAAAGUCCAGGGCUCAACCCUGGAAUGCCGGUGGAUACUGUCGGGCUCGAGUCCGGAAGAGGCGAGUGGAAUUCCUGGUGUAGCGGUGAAAUGCGCAGAUAUCAGGAGGAACACCGAUGGCGAAGGCAGCUCGCUGGGACGGUACUGACGCUGAGGCACGAAAGCGUGGGGAGCGAACAGG